CUGGGACAGUCUGUUGGGUUGGGGUAUUUGUGAAAAUCUUGAAUAUGGAGUAGUCGUAGAUUUGCACUUACAUCUUCGAUUCCAACUUUGAUGAAUACUGAGAAAAUCGCUGACAGUGUCAGCAGUAAGAUCUGUAAUACCAGUGAAAUGAGAGCUGCGUCAGAUCCUGCGAAUUGAACGAAGAACUAUUACACUGUGACCACAAUAGAACUCCUGCUGGAUCAGCAACUUGAAGCCAGCAAUGACUCCAUAGCAAGAGCAGAAAAAGCACAGCACCGCGUACACUAAUCCGACCGUCCGGAAUGACUUAAGACCCAUUUCGAGAGAGAGACUAAUUGAGGCAAGAGUCACAAGUGAACCGUACUAGCGCCACGCGGUGAAUGAAUCUUUGUUUAGUGCUUAGUUCUAAGUGCAGCUUCUCGCAAAAGGGCGGGAAAGCCCCCCAUUCAGCAACUUCCAGCUGACACUUGAUAGCGAUCUCUCGGUACUCGGCGGCGUGGGUUUUCAAUAAUGAGUGGGAAUAUGCUUAGGGAAUACUAGCCUUUUUUGGAAACAGAAAGGGGAGAUGAGUUCAUUUCGUAAAGGUGAAUAAAACAACGCCACCAAACUUAAGAACUGGA